AUUGAACGCUGGCGGCAGGCCUAACACAUGCAAGUCGAACGAGUGGCGGACGGGUGAGUAAUGUCUGGGAAACUGCCCGAUGGAGCGGGAUAACUACUGGAACCGGUAGCUAAUACCGCAUACCAUCGGAUGUGCCCAGAUGGGAUUAGCUAGUAGGUGGGGUAACGGCUCACCUAGGCGACGAUCCGUAACUGGUCUGAGAGGAUUAUCAGUCACACUGGAACUGGGACACGGGCCAGACUCCUACGGGAGGCAGCAGUGGGGAAUAGUGGACAAUGGGCGAAAGCCUGAUCCAGCCAUGCCGCGUGUGUGAAGAAGGUCUUCGGAUUGUAAAGCACUUUAAGUUGGGAGGCGUUACCAACAGAAUAAGCACCGGCUAACUUCGUGCCAGCAGCCGCGGUAAUAC
rnacentral:rRNA from 1 species